CCUCAGCAGCCCUCUGCUCCUUUUUGCCUAAUCAAGUUGCUUACAAUCCAAAACUUAAUUUGAAAUAAAAAGAAAUUUAACUGUAAGAACCACAAUUAAUCACUAGAAAAUAAAUUGGCUCUCUCUAUAAAAUCUUAACCUAAUCAGUAAGGAAUCUUGAAAGAAAGAGUAAAAUUAAGAAGGGACAGGCAAAAUGGCUCACGCCUGUAAUCCCAGUGUUUGGGAGGCUGAGGCAAGAGGAUUGCCAGUGAGCCAUGAUCAUGCCACUGCACUCCAGCUUGGGUAACAGGGCAAGACACUGUCUCAAAAAAAAAAAAAAAAAAAGAAGAAGAAGGUAACAGAUCCCAGUUUCCUUUACUAUUCACUUAUUAUUCAAUAAACAUUUAUUGGGGCCAGGCAUAAGGGCUCACACCUAUAAUCCCAGCACUUUUGGAGGCCAAGGUGAGAGGAUCACUUGAGGGCAGGAGUUUAGGACCAACCUGGGCAACAGACUACCAGCCUGGGUGACAGAGUGAGACUCCAUCUCAAAAAAGAAAGAGAGAGAGAGAGAGAGACAGAAGAGGAGAGGAACCUACAGAUUUUUUAUUCUGGUGACUCCUUAUGGAUGCUACCCAAAGAGCUGCUAUAAUUUAGAAAGAGAUUCCAUGAUCACCUUUAUAACUUCAAAA
rnacentral:lncRNA from 1 species